CCCUUAGAUGUUCUGGGCCGCACGCGCGCUACACUGAUGCAUUCAACGAGUCUAAAACCUGGUCUGAUAGGGCUGGGUAAUCUUUUGAAAGUGCAUCGUGAUUGGGAUAGAUGAUUGCAAUUCUUCACCUUCAACGAGGAAUGCCUAGUAAACGCAAGUCAUCAGCUUGCAUUGAUUACGUCCCUGCCCUUUGUACACACCGCCCGUCGCUCCUACCGAUUGAAUGAUCCGAUGAAUACCAUGGAUUGAGAGUACGAAUGGGUUCGCUCAUUUCUGCUGCUCGAGAAGUGGAGUAAAUCUUAUCAUUUAGAGGAAGGAGAAGUCGUAACA
rnacentral:rRNA from 1 species